CAGUUAACCCAGCCAAAGCCAGCCACAAGCCUGGUUGGAAAAUGGGGAGUGGCUG
rnacentral:ribozyme from 2 species